GAACGAAGGAACUGCACGUAGGCCGACGGGAUCUCCAUGUCGACCAGGAAGUAGGCGCGCGCGAAGCUGAACAGCA
rnacentral:tRNA from 1 species